UCCCGGUUAACCCGGGCAGUCUCACUAGAGUCCCCGCCAUUACGCGUUGGCAACUAAUGAUAAGGGUUGCGCUCGUUGCGGGACUUAACCCAACACCUCACGGCACGAGCUGACGACAGCCAUGCAGCACCUCUGUAGCAGUUCUUGCGAAAAGACUUAUUUCUAAGCCGGUCUCCUACAGUUCAAGCCUGGGUAAGGUUCUUCGCGUUGCAUCGAAUUAAACCACAUGCUCCACUGCUUGUGCGGGCCCCCGUCAAUUCUUUUGAGUUUCAGCCUUGCGACUGUACUUCCCAGGCGGCACACUUAACGCGUUAGCUCCGGCACAGCCAGGGUUGAGCCUAGCUACACCAAGUGUGCAUCGUUUACAGCUGGGACUAC
rnacentral:misc_RNA from 1 species